AUCUGUGGCCAUACCACCAUGCAUGCACCCAAUCACAUCUGAUCUCAAAAGCUAAGCAGAGUCUGGCCUGGUUAGUACUUGAAUGGGAGAAUAAAACAAUUAUUUCUUGUGGGGAGGAUUGUUUUAUCAUUGACC
rnacentral:rRNA from 1 species